AACCACAUGUUAACAUAGCAUAAACUAACAAUUAACACAAGCAUAAAACAUGACUAUAAAAUAUAUUCUCUUUUACCAACUUGUCGAUGAGUUCCUCAAAAGUGUUGGAAGAGUAUUUUCACUAGGGAGUAUUGAACAUUGUGGGACUUCUUCUUUUUAGAGCAACACCUUUGUGAGAGACACACCACAUAUUCACCCAAAA
rnacentral:lncRNA from 1 species